CCUACGGGAGGUAGCAGUAAGGAAUAUUGGUCAAUGGAGGAAACUCUGAACCAGCCAUCCCGCGUGAAGGAUGAAGGGGCUCUGCCUUGUAAACUUCUUUUGUCUGGGGCGAAAAAGCUCGAUUUAUCGAGAACUGACGGUACCAGAAGAAUAAGCACCGGCUAACUCCGUGCCAGCAGCCGCGGUAAUACGGAGGGUGCAAGAAUUACUGGGUUUCACUGGUGCGUAGGGGGCUUAGUAAGGCUUUGGUGAAAGGCUGUGGCUUAACCAUGGAAUUGCCAUUGAUACUGCAGAGCUUGAAUGAGGUUGAGGUUGGCGGAAUGUGACAUGUAGCGGUGAAAUGCUUAGAUAUGUCAUGGAACACCGAUUGCGAAGGCAGCUGACUGGACCUAUAUUGACGCUGAGGCACGAAAGCGUGGGGAGCGAACAGGAUUAGAUACCCCAGUAGUC
rnacentral:rRNA from 1 species